GGCCUUUAAAGUACCUCCCACCUUGCUCAACCCCAGCAGGAGAGGAAUAAGAAGAGUUUGGAAGGGAUAAUGAUACCAUAUGAAGCAAGAGAGGACAGAAACAGGAGAGUCGAGAAGCAGGAUCUCUAGCAGUAUGCCCUUGAAGGCAGAGACUGCAGUCAGCGAUCGGCCUAAGCUCUGCACACACGGCAAUGGCAAUUUGUCCAAUGAGCCCUGUUGAAGGUGGAGUGCUGCUGCCUGUACCUCCUCAUCAUCACUGUUGCUUGAGCACCGAAGAAGAGUGGCCCAGCCUUUUGGGUGCAGCUGUAAGGACGUGAUGCAGUUUCCGUGGUCACUCUCACCAAG
rnacentral:lncRNA from 1 species